UACGGGAGGCAGCAGUGGGGAAUAUUGGGCAAUGGAGGAAACUCUGACCCAGCAACGCCGCGUGGAGGAAGAAGGUUUUCGGAUCGUAAACUCCUGUCCUUGGAGACGAGUAGAAGACGGUAUCCAAGGAGGAAGCCCCGGCUAACUACGUGCCAGCAGCCGCGGUAAUACGUAGGGGCAAGCGUUGUCCGGAAUAAUUGGGCGUAAAGGGCGCGUAGGCGGCUCGGUAAGUCUGGAGUGAAAGUCCUGCUUUUAAGGUGGGAAUUGCUUUGGAUACUGUCGGGCUUGAGUGCAGGAGAGGUUAGUGGAAUUCCCAGUGUAGCGGUGAAAUGCGUAGAGAUUGGGAGGAACACCAGUGGCGAAGGCGACUAACUGGACUGUAACUGACGCUGAGGCGCGAAAGUGUGGGGAGCAAACAGGAUUAGAUACCCUGGUAGUCCACACUGUAAACGAUGAAUGCUAGGUGUAGGGGGUAUCGACCCCUUCUGUGCCGCAGUCAACACAAUAAGCAUUCCGCCUGGGGAGUACGGCCGCA
rnacentral:rRNA from 1 species